rnacentral:rRNA from 1 species
CCAGACUCCUACGGGAGGCAGCAGUCGGGAAUAUUGCACAAUGGAGGAAACUCUGAUGCAGUGACACCGCGUAUAGGAAGAAGGUCUUAGGAUUGUAAGCUAUUGUCGUGUGAGAAGAAAAUAACCAUCACAGGAGGAAGCCCUGGCUAAAUAUGUGCCAGCAGCCGCGGUAAUACAUAUGGGGCGAGCGUUAUCCGGAUUUAUUGGGUGUAAAGGGUGCGUAGGCGGGAAAAUAAGUCAGUAUGUGAAAUCCCUCGGCUCAACUGAGGAACUGCAACUGAAACUAUUUUUCUUGAGUGUUGAAGGGGAAAGUGGAAUUCCUAGUGUAGCGGUGAAAUGCGUAGAGAUUAGGAGGAACACCAGUGGCGAAGGCGACUUUCUGGGCAACAACUGACGCUGAGGCACGAAAGUGUGGGGAGCAAACAGGAUUAGAUACCCUGGUAGUCCACACCGUAAACGAUGGAUACUAGGAGUUGGCAAAAAUAUUGUCGGUUCCGCAGUUAACGCAUUAAGUAUCCCACCUGGGGAGUACGACCGCAAGGUUAAAACUCAAAGG